GCCCCCCUCCCCUCUUUCCCGUCACGUGACGGCGCGCGGAGGCGGCCGCGGAGACGCCUCCCCGGCGGGCCGGGAGGGAGUCGCGCGGGAACAACUGUCAACACCUAGUUCUGCCAGAGCCUUAUCGCAUCCGAAUUGCCUCCGCACACCCGAGGGCGGCUUCGGGAUUCGAGCCCACAGCCGCCCGCCCGUGAUCUACUGAGGUGUGGUCUGGACCGGUCUUGCAGGGCCCUGCCUAACCUGAGAAGACUGCACAAUAGAGCUCACUGGUCCGAGGAACUCUCCCCGCCUACCCCUGGUGAUGAGAGGAAAAGAAUAGAAAUGCCAAUCGCCAGAGGAAAGAAAGUAACAAUACAGAAAUGAAGGAAGUAGAAAAGCAGAAAGAUCAUAAUCAAACCCUGCUAACCAUGCAAGCACAUGAGAAAGUUUGCUCAGUUUUGAAUGAUAUUCACAUUGGAAACAAACAGCCAGGAUUACGCAAAUUAUUGCCUGACUACCUAUAACUCCUAUCAACCACACUCAAAAAAAAAAAAGUCAAUGCAAGUUCAUGAAAGUGAAGAUAUUAUGGGACAACAAAUGUUCCCAUUUUACAGAUGAGGAGACUUGAGGCAAAGAGUGAUCAAGUAACUUGUCCAAGCUCAUACAGGAGUGGAAGCCUGAUGUGGGAGCAUUUAAUAUCCUCUCAAGCAGGAUACCACACUGCCUGUCCAGCAUAGCUUGCCUCCAGUCAAGUGCUUGAAGACCCAUCUGAAGAAAGACCAAUAACACACCAUUGGGGGAUAGAAGGCAGGUACAGAAAAGUGAACAGAAGAUGAAAUAUUCUGCUCUCAAACAGAAACUGACUGGAAACCAAACUGGAUUCAGAUAUGGAGGAAAGGAAGUAAAAACGUCAUCCACACUGUAUCACAGCAAAUAGAAGGUCUGUCAGAGCUAUCCAAGCCUGAGUGAGAUGAAAAGAAAUGGCAUGCAAAUCAUAAGAGACUCUUAAGUAGAGAACAGACUGAGGGUUGAUGGGGAAAAUGGGUGAUGGGCAUUGAGGAGGGCACUUGUUGGGAUGAGCACUGGGUGUUGUAUGUAAGUGAUGAAUCAUGGGAAUCUACUCCCAAAACCAAGAGCACACUGUAUACACUGUAUGUUAGCUAACUUGACAAUAAAUUACAUUUAGGAAAAGAAAAAAAAAUUAAAAAUGGGGGAAGGAAAGGAGUCCUGUGUGUAAAAUGGUAUCAAACAGCAUUGUGUGUGACAGAGAAAUCAUUCAUGAAGAGUCAAUGCAGCAAACUUCACUGUUGUCUUAUUUUAAGAAGUUGCCACAGCCACCCCAGCCUCCAGCAGCCACCACCCAAGAUCAUUCAGCAGCCAUCAGAAUCAAAGCAAGACCCUCCACCAAAACAAAAGAUUAUGUCUGCUUGAAAGCUCGGAUGAUAGUUAGCAUUUUUUAGCAAUAGUUUUUUUUUAAUCAAGAUAAAAAGAAAAAUGAAAAGAAAUGGCAUGGCUACCAUGUAAGCAUGUUAUAGUAUGUGACUUUCAUCAGGUCACAGAAUUAACAUUGUAGAAUUGGAAUUCAAACCCAGGUGGUCUGACUAGCCUGGAAAAAUCUGGAUAGAAGAAUGUUUGAUUUACUAAACUGUUUUCCUAAAUGAGAUAAAGCCAUUGAGCCAGCUGUAGUUAGAUUUCCAACUCUGAUUCUUCGGUGUAAAUAAGCCAAUGAGAGAAAAGCCCCUACGUCUGAUCUCAUAACCUUAGGGGACAUGAAUCAAUGAGGAUCUCUUCUACAAUGAUGGACCAGAGCUUGGGGAAGAGCCAGGGAUAGCAGUGCUGAGGAACAUUAUUGACACGGCCUGGUCACAGUCUAGUCCUACAAUAGCUACCAUACAUGCAUACUGUCCUAAUGAAGUCCUGCUGUAAAAGAUUACUUCUUUUAAUAUCUUCUUGAACAGGAACCUUUGCAGGGGUCCAGCAUAGUGAGUCAAGACACCAUUAGCACAACUGUUGCCCUUUCCAUUACUAAGUUAAACAUGCCUAAAAUAUGAGAAUCCUGUCCUAGAAUCUGGGUGACAAGAGAGUGGAUGUCAUAGUUGGGACCAUUUCCUUCAUGCACCACAACAACAAAAGCCCUAUUCUUUUUUUAAGACAAAGUGUAAAGAGCACCCAAUCUGUUCCUAGCAUGGGUUUGAUCUCUAGUCUUGUAGUCCAGCAGUCAUUCUGAAAAACAUAAAUGACACGAACAUAAUGGCAGCAUACAGGGGACAAGCAGAGGGUAGGUAGCGAUGUAGAAAAGAUGUGGAAGAUUACUGAAACCAUGUAUUGACUUUUCCAUAUUUCCCCUA